UACAGAGGUCUCAAGCGUUGUUCGGAUUCAUUGGGCGUAAAGGGUGCGUAGGUGGCGGGGUAAGUCAGGUGUGAAAUUUCGGAGCUUAACUCCGAAACUGCAUUUGAUACUGCCUUGCUUGAGGACUGGAGAGGAGACUGGAAUUCACGGUGUAGCAGUGAAAUGCGUAGAUAUCGUGAGGAAGACCAGUGGCGAAGGCGGGUCUCUGGACAGUUCCUGACACUGAAGCACGAAGGCCAGGGGAGCAAACGGG
rnacentral:rRNA from 1 species